AUGCAGACCUUACUACGCAUGUCGAAUUCUUCAUCAACAACCUCAAAGAGACUUGGAACCGUCACUACGAACAUUCAAAGGUCCAGAUCAGGCAUUUCCCGACUGAAUAUGUGGCGACUGCGAAGCAAGGGAACACGACGGACUAUGGCUUUCACGCGCUGGAAUACUUUGCAAAGUGGGAAGGCAGAUUUGUCCCCGCUAUCACAGCUGCAAUGGUCGUUGAGCUCCGGGAAAUCCACACAUGGAACUGGUUGA
rnacentral:rRNA from 1 species